CUGGACUGCAUCAAAAGCAGUGGGAUCAGCAGGAUGAGGGAAGUGAUUCUGCCCCUUUGCUCUGAAUCAGUGGUGUGAGGUGAAGCAGACCUCUAAGAGGACGAAGCAGACUCUGGCUCCCAAGAGCUACCAAGGAACUGCUGUGAUUCAGAGCUUUUCAGAGAUGAAGCAACAGAACAAGACUGAGCCUUCCAGAAAGGCAGAACUUCUGCAGCUUAUGGGCACACUGCUCCUGGCAUAGGGCUGUGGUAUUUAUUGCUGCCCUGGCACUAUCUGGUGCCCUUGAAGUUGAUGGCACAUGCCUUCUGACUUUGCCCUCUGCAUUUAGAUUUAGGUUGUUAGGUGUUGGGGUUUUGUUGUUGUUGUUGUGGUUUGUUUGUUUUUUUAGGGUUUGGUUGGUUUCUGUCUCACUAUGGUGAAGUCUCUGUUUAAUUAUCAGAAAGAAUUAAAAGUCUAGGUCAAAUUCUCAGUCACCACCGAGGCCCUUGGCAAGGAUUUUCCGUGGUGAAGUGAGGAGUAUGAGGCACUCUGUAGCACCGGCAGUGCCCCUCGGCAUGCAGUGAGUUGUAGCUCCUUGGCUGGUGCUCCCUUUUCAGAGGCUGUGAGCCUCUCCUGAAGAAAUGCAUCUAGCUGAAGGGCUCUCAGCCACAUCCCUUUUUCUCUCUAGGGCACAAGAGCCGAGGAAACUGUACCGUGUAGGUCCUGCAUAUUAGCCAAGCAAUGAGUUUCCCUUUCUGUUUCUUUCUCAAGGGAACUUGGAAGAGGGAUUCAAAGAACUCGGGGAAUGUGCAUUUUAAUAACAAUCCUGGGCUGUACUUACUGGUUUGUGCCUUCAGCUUGACAUUUCGUUUACUAGGAUGUUUGUGAAACAGGGACAGGCCAUAAACAUCUCUCUGGUUUCACCCCUGCAACAACCUGCUCUGACAUGCAGAGCUUUUUUCAGUGGAAGUGCUUCUGCAGCCAUCACAGAUCUUUGUGGCUUCUCAAGUCAUGCAGUUCGGGAGGAAAACAACCAUAAGGUGUUACUGAGGUUGCAGGAUGAAUGAGACAUUAUGAAUAGUCAUUCUCGAAACAAAAGCUUUCCUGAGUACUCGGUGAGAACUGUGGGGGUUGGCAAAAGUUUGCAGAGCAGUUCGAAAUAAUGAAGCCCAUGGAAAAAAUGGUAGCUUGUGGAUAAUUUCCAGGCCCAAAGAAAAAAAGAAAGGGUUCUGAAUAAACUUUGAUGUGGGGAUUUCACUCACCCUUGUUUUCAUCUGGGCUGGAACCAUCCCGUCAUUGUCUCGAAGGUAAAUCAUUACAAAGCCGAGGGGUGGAGGUGGGGGCAAAUCAAUGUGUCAGGUUUACCCUGUGUCCCAGAGCGGUGAGUAAUUGCUUCGUGUUGCUGUAGCAACAGAUGGCUUAAUCUCUUCAGCUUCAACUUCUCACCUAGCCGUGUCAGAGCUUCUGAGUGGGUCAUAAAUAAAUGUGAAUACAUCUUUGCAUCAGAAAAUUU